CUGGCUUGUACACAAACAUCAAUAAGGAACUACCAUUCCUACUCAGGAUACAGUACUUUCAUACCCUGAACUGACUAAAAUGAAACUCUCUUUGAUGGGUGCUGUUUUGUUGAUUUCUGUACUCUGCACAAAUGUCCAGGGUGGUUGACUGAAAAACAUGUCAUUGGCUGUCUCUUCUGAUCGAUCCUAUGGUCCUCCUCCUAGCAACCAGGUCCAACUUUCACAACCCUAAUUAGCUAUGGGAAACACAGUAGAGAAGACUAAACUACAUUUUGUUGCAAGACUGAUGUCCUUGUUUUUCCACAUUCAGCUCAUGUUCAUCACUGUUUAACUCAAUGAUGGCGAAUCUUUUAGAGACUGAGUGCCCAAACUGCAACCCAAAACCCACUUAUGUAUCAACGGGUGCCAGGCAAUGUAAAGCAAAGCAUUUCUAUGGAAAAAUGGACUCUGGUGCCUAAAGAGGACUUUAAGAUAAGUCACUUUCAGAUACAAAUAUUAUUCUGUAUUACUGACAUUGACAGUAAUGGGAGGGUAAAGGCAAAAAUAUUAAAGUAUUUGCUACCUUGAUAUAAGGGAUGCAUGAGAGUCAGUGGCAUACUCUUUUAAGCAGAUAUUUCAUUUUCACUCGUUUCUUCUAGAUCCACCAACUGCAUUUGCUGGGAAUAAAACCAGAGCUGCCUCCCCUUUCCACACUUCAUAAUUUCUUCUUAAUCAAGUAUCAAUGUGAAAUUACAACUUUCUCCUGAGAAGAGCUCCAGCAAUUAUCUUUCUUUCUGUUGAUUUGAGGGUACUUUCCCUUAAUUGUGAUCAAUCUAUAGGAAUA